UGGGGAAUUUUGGACAAUGGGCGCAAGCCUGAUCCAGCCAUGCCGCGUGCGGGAAGAAGGCCUUCGGGUUGUAAACCGCUUUUGUCAGGGAAGAAAUCUUCUGAGUUAAUACCUCGGGAGGAUGACGGUACCUGAAGAAUAAGCACCGGCUAACUACGUGCCAGCAGCCGCGGUAAUACGUAGGGUGCAAGCGUUAAUCGGAAUUACUGGGCGUAAAGCGUGCGCAGGCGGUUUUGUAAGACAGAGGUGAAAUCCCCGGGCUCAACCUGGGAACUGCCUUUGUGACUGCAAGGCUUGAGUGCGGCAGAGGGGGAUGGAAUUCCGCGUGUAGCAGUGAAAUGCGUAGAUAUGCGGAGGAACACCGAUGGCGAAGGCAAUCCCCUGGGCCUGCACUGACGCUCAUGCACGAAAGCGUGGGGAGCAAAACAGGAUUAGAUACCCUGGUAGUCCACGCCCUAAACGAUGUCAACUGGUUGUUGGGAAGGUUCCUUCUCAGUAACGUAGCUAACGCGUGAAGUUGACCGCCUGGGGAGUACGGCCGCAA
rnacentral:rRNA from 1 species